rnacentral:rRNA from 1 species
GACGAACGCUGGCGGCGGGCUUAACACAUGCAAGUCGAACGGAAAGGCCCUGCGUUUGUGGGGUGCUCGAGUGGCGAACGGGUGAGUAACACGUGAGUAACCUGCCCUUGACUUUGGGGUAACUUCAGGAAACUGGGGCUAAUACCGGAUAGGAUCUCCUGCUGCAUGGUGGGGGUUGGAAAGUUUCGGCGGUUGGGGAUGGACUGGCGGCUUAUCAGCUUGUUGGUGGGGUAGUUGCUUACCAAGGCUUUGACGGGUAGCCGGCCUGAGAGGGUGACCGGGCACCUUGGGACUGAGAUACGGCCCAGACUGCUACGGGAGGCAGCAGUGGGGAAUAUUGCACAAUGAGCGGAAGCCUGAUGCAGCAACGCCGCGUGCGGGAUGACGGCCUUCGGGUUGUAAACCGCUUUCGCCUGUGACGAAGCGUGAGUGACGGUAAUGGGUAAAGAAGCACCGGCUAACUACGUG